GAUGAACGCUGGCGGUAUGCCUAACACAUGCAAGUCGUACGAGAGUUUUUAACUCUAGUGGCGGACGGGUGAGUAACACGUGAGAAUUUGCCUUUAGGAGGGGGACAACAAUUGGAAACGAAUGCUAAUACCCCAUAUGCUUUCGAGUGAAAUGGAUUUUAUCCGCCUAGAGAGAAGCUCGCGGCUGAUUAGCUUGUUGGUAAGGUAAGAGCUUACCAAGGCGACGAUCAGUAUCUGGUUUGAGAGGACGAUCAGACACACUGGAACUGAGACACGGUCCAGACUCCUACGGGAGGCAGCAGUGGGGAAUUUUCCGCAAUGGGCGAAAGCCUGACGGAGCAAUACCGCGUGAGGGAAGAAUGCCUAUGGGUUGUAAACCUCUUUUUCAGGGAGGAAUAAAAUGGCGUGUACCUGAAGAAUAAGCAUCGGCUAACUCCGUG
rnacentral:rRNA from 1 species